ACAUUAUUAAAUGUAUUAAAUUGUAAUAAAGUUAUUACUACUCAUUGCAUAAAUUGGGGAGGUUUAAGCAUGUUGACAAAUCCUCUUUAAUUUGCAUAUAUUUUUAAAUGCUCUUAAUUUCAUUUAUUCAGGAAUAAUAGUAUCACUUUUAUUUAUUUGUUAAAAGCCAUACAGCUUUUUUAAUAAAAACUUUUCUAGGAACCGUCCCUUAAUUUGUAUAAUACAAUAUAACAAUUAAUCACAAUAUUAUAGAUUACAAGACUACUAUCUAACAACAUUAAUCAAUAUGUCUAUCAAAUUUGUAAUGAAUACUAUGUGAAUUGUGAU